rnacentral:rRNA from 1 species
GACGAACGCUGGCGGCGUGCUUAACACAUGCAAGUCGAACGGAAAGACCCUGCUUUUGUGGGGUGCUCGAGUGGCGAACGGGUGAGUAACACGUGAGUAACCUGCCCUUGACUUUGGGAUAACUUCAGGAAACUGGGGCUAAUACCGGAUAGGAGCUCCUGCUGCAUGGUGGGGGGUGGAAAGUUUCGGCGGUUGGGGAUGGACUCGCGGCUUAUGAGCUUGUUGGUGGGGUAGUGGCUUACCAAGGCUUUGACGGGUAGCCGGCCUGAGAGGGUGACCGGCCACAUUGGGACUGAGAUACGGCCCAGACUCCUACGGGAGGCAGCAGUGGGGAAUAUUGCACAAUGGGCGGAAGCCGGAUGAAGCAACGCCGCGUGCGUGAUGACGGCCUUCGGGUUGUAAACCGCUUUCGCCUGUGACGAAGCGUGAGUGACGGUAAUGGGUAAAGAAGCACCGGCUAACUACGUG